rnacentral:lncRNA from 1 species
UUCAUUCACUACCCAAGCCAAAGAUCAUCUACCACAUGAAGCUCCUUGUGGUCCAAUUUCAACCUUCAAGAUCAAGCCUCGACGACCCUUGAAGAAAUUCCAAACAAAUUCAAGAUCAAGCCUUGACGGCCCUUGAAGAAAUCUCCAGCCCAAUUCAAGAUCAAGCCUCGAUGACCCUUGGAUCGACAUCUACAUUAAGGGACUUCAAAACGCAUCUCUUACACACGACAAGCACAUGUAUGCAAUGCGUCUUGAAGUGGGGGCAUUUGUAGACAUCGAAAUUUCGGUAAAUAAAUGUUAACCGAUAAAUCAAAGUUUCAACGCUUAUGUAUUACAUAAAUUUUACACGUAGCGUGUGUCUAAACAAAAAAUCAAAAUAAGUUGGAAAAGUCAUCAACAGGACACGUGUCAACACCUGGCAGAAACGACUUAUUUCAUCUAGAAUAUUAUAUUCAAAAUUAGGCCUUGGAAAUUUCUAUAAAUAGAAGGCUAAUUCAUUCAUUUAGAGGGAACCAAUUCAUAUUACACCUUGAAGCUCUGAAACUCCGAAGCUCUCAAGCAUCCAGGUUCCCGAAGAAUCAAGAAAGCCUUCUUCGUUCUUCGUUCAUCGUUCUUCCAAGAUCAAGCCCCAACGGCCCUUUGGAUCAACAAUCAUCCACCAAUUCAAGAUCAAGCCCCGACGGCCCUUGAAGAAAGUGUUCUUCGUUCUUCGUUCAUCGUUCUUCCAAGGUCAAGCCCCGACGGCCCUUGGAUCAACCAUCCACCAAUUCAAGAUCAAGCCCCAAAGGCCCUUGAAGAACUUCCACCAAUUCAAGAUCAAGCCCCGACGACCCUUGAAGAAAGCACCAUCGUUCAUCAUCCGUUCAUCCAAGAUCAAUCCCCAACGGCCAUUUGGAUUAACAACGUCGACAAAUCCACACA